AGAAAAUUGCUCCAGGCCUUAAUCAUUUGUGUUGUUUCUCUCUUCCUUCAGUGUGUAUCUGUCUGUCUGGUAAUGAGACAGGCAAACAAAUGCCGUGCUCCAGAGCCGAUGUGAUGAGACUCGGCGGGGCAAGCAGGUAGCUGGGGGAGGCAGAAAGACGGAAGGCAGAGCGGGAGCACCGUUGUGCCACAGGGUGAUUCGACGCGGCAGUGGUCCUUAGGCUGCAGGAUGCUGUCCCGGUCUCGGCACUGGCCCGCCGCCCCGUGGGUCUCUUUUGGCACUGGUGCUUCCCACAGACCUUUGUGUUUCCCAGCUUUAGCCUUUGGAGCAGGAGCAUACCUGCUUCCCUACUGAAUGCUAUUUAGCACAUCGUUUCUGGAUAGUCCUCCUUGUUUCCCGGAGCCUGGGUUCAAAUCCCAGCUCUGCACAGCUUACUGGCUGUGUGACUUUGGCCAAGUUGUUUAACUGCUCUGUGCCUCAGUUUCCUCAUCUGUGGAUGAGGCAGUAACACAGCCCUCACAGGACUUCUGGGAAGGCUACAGGGGUGAAGAAGGCUCACGGGUCUAGAGUAUCAUUCAGUGCAGAGCAGACACCCGCAGGUGAUGCGUUAUUCUCUGUUGGCUUCAGCCUCUGAGCAGAAAAGAUGUGUGAGUAGUGAAGCCAUGCUUCCAGAAGCAACCACCUCCCUUUACCUUUCAAGGCAAACUCGGACCCCAGUAUGUUUGAUUUCAGGGGCGGGUAAUGUUUCCCCAAGAUUGGGACUUGGGGAGUCAUAGGGUUAUCAACCUCUUUGGCUAAGGAAGACCGUCACAAUCACUAUCUACUGACACCCUCUUUCAGGGAGGAAUACCCCAAAGAAAAAAGGACGUCAUCUCUGAACAAAGAAGAGUCAUUGUCAGCAAUGGGGAUGAGCAACUUGAAAAGAACAUAACUGUCAUGGAUGCAUUGUGCUUUUUCUCUUUUUUCUUUCUCUUCUCCCUUUCAGAUCACCGCCCGUCUGCAGAUCAGCCUUCAGGACCACUGAUCUAAGGAUCAUUUCGACCCCUUAGUCAUUGACUAAGAGGCUAGAGGGGAAGGAAAAACUUUAAGCCUCAAAAAGGGGCUACAGGCAGGGCUGAGGGCCUCCAUGUUCCUCCAAUAAGAACACAAAAGUGUUCGGGGAAAGUCUGGGUCAAAGCAAGAGCCUCCUUGUUUGCAGAGCAAAGCAAUUUAGGACCUCACACCCACACCCACCCCGCAAGGCGGACGCUGGAUUUCCGAGAGCAGCGAAUCAGGAUUCCAAGUGGACAAGUGUCCGGAAGGGCCACUCCUGCUGGCAUGUCACCAGGAUACAUGUCUCGUCACAGCCACUGCUCUCUCCCCAGAUGGAGCAGUUCCCCUUGCCGCUGUGAAGUCUGUGACAGCUGAAGCCGAGAAAACGCGGGGACAAACAGGUCCCGUCAGGACACCGGGCAGCUUCCUAGCCUAGUGACGAAUUGCAGGCGACUGGGGAGAAUUUAAAACCAACCCAGCUGCCACCCAGGAGAGUGAGUAAUCUCAACACUUAAGGAGAAGCCCCAGACCGGCAGUCAUUCAGACACAGGAGACAGUUUUCCUGGACCCAGAUGGCACCCAAGUGUCUCACCCUGGGGCUUCUCUUGGACAAAUGGACCUACCCCAUCCCCUGGUAGGAGAUGGCCACCUGAUGUGUCCACCCCUCCUGCGCCCCCCUCCCCCCACCAUGGCAUUUAUGUUCAUUCUGUCUUUCCAUCUGUCUCCAGAACUUCCUCCAGAAUCUCUGGAGCUUCUCUAGGGUCCACACAGCUGCCACAAGUCUUGACCCAUCCAUCACGAUUCCCUGGUUUGCUCAGUGUUUGAAAAUCAGAACACGAGUUAAAAAUGCUUAAUAACAAAAGUCUUGGAGAUCACACACAUUGACCUGACCUCACGUCUCUUACCCUCCCAAUGUUUCAAACAUGCAACUUCCAGCAUCCUCUCUGGGGAUCAGCCCUUGGAAGGAAAUAGUUGGCUCUAAGUGAAGUCUGCUCUUAGCACCCGUAUGGAAGCCUUAAGGUGAUACAGGCGCACAAGGGCUGGCACUUUCUCUCCGGGCAAAAGGACGACGUCUGGCGGCACUGGCACUCUGGGCAGUGGCAGGGCUGGAAGGGGCUCAGUGGAGGAUAAAGAGCUCAACAGAGGCUUGCAGUCAUAUUUCUACGCGAGGUGAGGGAAGUACACCAUGACUGGGGAAAAGAAUGAGCUUCUUCCAAAAAAAAAAAAAAAAAGAAUGAAAAAAAAAGAUUGUAUCGUCUUGAGCAAAUAUGUAUGCUUCUUACAAAGUGCCUGCACUUCAAAUGUUCAAAGAGGAGAGCUUGCUUUCUUUCACAUCAGCCUGGACUCAUCCACCACCAAAAGGUGCACCUCACUUCACUCUUGGCUGACGGCCACAGUUGCUGCCUGCUCCCAGAUCUGGUCACAGCCAAGGACCAGAGCCCCAGGGAGGCAUUUUCACAAGUGCGCAAGUUAGAAGUUGAAAACCAUCACCGAGGAAAAGAAACGAGUCUCUCAGAAAAAGCUUCGGGAAGAAAAUCCUGCCCCUCAUAACCCAUCAUACGAUUACUUGGGCAGGACAGGACCUCUGAGACUACCAUACCAGAAGCUUCAUUUUACAAGAAAGGGGAUGGAGAACUUAAGAAAAGUGUAUCUCAGUUUUUUCGACCUGAUAUGCAUAUACAAUUCUCUUGUUCACUUCUCAUUCCUUAAUCCUUUGAAUAUUUACUCCAGAAAGACAAGUCUUCCUUCCUUUUUUUCUUCCUUUUUUUCUCCUCCCUCCCUCCCUUCCUUCCUUUUUUCCCCUUCCUUCCUUCACUCUUUCCUUCCCUUCCUCCUUCCCUCCCUCUCUU